rnacentral:rRNA from 1 species
UACGAAGGGGGCUAGCGUUGUUCGGAAUUACUGGGCGUAAAGCGCACGUAGGCGGCAUUCCAAGUUGGAGGUGAAAUCCCCGGGCUUAACCUGGGAACUGCCUCCAAAACUGGGAAGCUCGAGUCCGAGAGAGGUGAGUGGAAUUUCCAGUGUAGAGGUGAAAUUCGUAGAUAUUGGAAAGAACACCAGUGGCGAAGGCGGCUCACUGGCUCGGUACUGACGCUGAGGCGCGACAGCGUGGGGAGCAAACAGG